CAGCCGCCGCGGUAAUACGUAGGUGGCAAGCGUUGUCCGGAAUUAUUGGGCGUAAAGGGCUCGCAGGCGGUUUCUUAAGUCUGAUGCGAAAGCCCCCGGCUCAACCGGGGAGGGUCAUUGGAAACUGGGAAACUUGAGUGCAGAAGAGGAGAGUGGAAUUCCUCGUGUAGCGGUGAAAUGCGUAGAGAUGUGGAGGAACACCAGUGGCGAAGGCGACUCUCUGGUCUGUAACUGACGCUGAGGAGCGAAAGCGUGGGGAGCGAACAGGAUUAGAUACCCCCGUAGUCCCUGUCUCUUAUAC
rnacentral:rRNA from 1 species